rnacentral:rRNA from 1 species
AUUGAACGCUGGCGGCAUGCCUUACACAUGCAAGUCGAACGAAGUCUUCGGACUUAGUGGCGGACGGGUGAGUAACACGUGGGAACGUACCUUUUGGUUCGGAACAACUCAGGGAAACUUGAGCUAAUACCGGAUGAGCCCUUAGGGGGAAAGAUUUAUCGCCGAAAGAGCGGCCCGCGUUAGAUUGGCUAGUUGGUGAGGUAAAGGCUCACCAAGGCUACGAUCUAUAGCUGGUCUGAGAGGAUGAUCAGCCACACUGGGACUGAGACACGGCCCAGACUCCUACGGGAGGCAGCAGUGGGGAAUCUUGCGCAAUGGGCGAAAGCCUGACGCAGCCAUGCCGCGUGAAUGAUGAAGGUCUUAGGAUUGUAAAAUUCUUUUACCAGGGACGAUAAUGACGGUACCUGGAGAAAAAGCCCCGGCUAACUUCGUGCCAGCAGCCGCCGUAA